rnacentral:rRNA from 1 species
UACGUAGGGGGCAAGCGUUGUCCGGAAUUAUUGGGCGUAAAGAGCUCGUAGGCGGUCCAGUAAGUCGGAUGUGAAAUCUCAGGGCUCAACCCUGAAACUGCAUCUGAUACUGCUGGACUUGAGGCAGGUAGGGGAAGGUGGAAUUCCUGGUGUAGCGGUGAAAUGCGCAGAUAUCAGGAGGAACACCGGUGGCGAAGGCGGCCUUCUGGGCCUGUUCUGACGCUGAGGAGCGAAAGCGUGGGGAGCAAACAGG